rnacentral:rRNA from 1 species
AUUGAACGCUAGCGGGAUGCUUUACACAUGCAAGUCGAACGAGUGGCGGACGGGUGAGUAAUAUCUCGGAACGUGCCCAGUAGCGGGGGAUAACUACUCGAAGAGGGGCUAAAACCGCAAACUACUGGAGUGGCCGCAAUCGGAUUAGCUAGUUGGUGGGGUAAAGGCCCACCCAGGCAACGAUCCGUAGCUGGUUUGAGAGGACGACCAGCCACACUGGGACUGAGACACGGCCCAGACUCCUACGGGAGGCAGCAGUGGGGAAUUUUGGACAAUGGGGGAAACCCUGAUCCAGCCAUCCCGCGUGUGUGAGAAGGCCUUCGGGUUGUAAAGUACUUUUGGCGGAGAAGCGGUAUCUGCAGAAUAAGCACCGGCUAACUACGUGCCAGCAGCCGCGGUAAUUC